rnacentral:rRNA from 1 species
AGAGUUUGAUCCUGGCUCAGAUUGAACGCUGGCGGCAUGCCUUACACAUGCAAGUCGAACGGCAGCACGGGGGCAACCUUGGUGGCGAGUGGCGAACGGGUGAGUAAUGCAUCGGAACGUGCCCAGUAGUGGGGGAUAACUAGUCGAAAGAUUAGCUAAUACGCGCAUACGACCUAUGGGUGAAAGCGGGGGAUUCGCAAGAACCUCGCGCUAUCGGAGCGGCCGAUGUCUGAUUAGCUAGUUGGCGGGGUAUAAGCCCACCAAGGCUUCGAUCAGUAGCUGGUCUGAGAUGACGACCGAUCCACACUGGGACUGAGACACUGCCCAGACUCCUACUGGAUGCAGCAGUGGGGAAUUUAUGGACAAUGGGCGCAAGCCUGAUCCAGCCAUGCCGCGUGCUGGAGACAANGCCUUCUGGUUGUAAACCGCUCUUUGGCAGGAACGAAACAGAGCGAGCGAAUAUCUCGCGUCAAUGACUGUACCUUCAGAAUAUGCAACGGCUAACUACGUGCCAGCAGCGUCGGUAAUACCUCACGGUGCAAUGCGCUUAAUCAGGAAAUGACCUGGGGCGUUAAAUGCCGCUACNGCAGUGGCNUGCGUAUUGCCUACGCAACAGGGGUGUUGAACAAUACUCGCCGUGGACUAUAGGCCGUGAGUAACCCUGCAUUUUUGUUGNCCUGCAUUAGUCUACCGUUUAGUGGGGACGGGUGGUAGUGGUUUCUAAGUUGUACCCAGUUGAAAAUUGCGUUACACUAUGGUGGUAGCGCACCCACUGCNAUUGGGCCGUUANAGACAUUGC